AAGACGGUUUCGGCUGUCACUUACAGAUGGACCCGCGGCGCAUUAGCUAGUUGGUGGGGUAAUGGCUCACCAAGGCGACGAUGCGUAGCCGACCUGAGAGGGUGAUCGGCCACACUGGGACUGAGACACGGCCCAGACUCCUACGGGAGGCAGCAGUAGGGAAUCUUCCGCAAUGGACGAAAGUCUGACGGAGCAACGCCGCGUGAGUGAUGAAGGUUUUCGGAUCGUAAAGCUCUGUUGUUAGGGAAGAACAAGUGCGAGAGUAACUGCUCGCACCUUGACGGUACCUAACCAGAAAGCCACGGCUAACUACGUGCCAGCAGCCGCGGUAAUACGUAGGUGGCAAGCGUUGUCCGGAAUUAUUGGGCGUAAAGGGCUCGCAGGCGGUUUCUUAAGUCUGAUGUGAAAGCCCCCGGCUCAACCGGGGAGGGUCAUUGGAAACUGGGAAACUUGAGUGCAGAAGAGGAGAGUGGAAUUCCACGUGUAGCGGUGAAAUGCGUAGAGAUGUGGAGNGAACACCAGUGGCGAAGGCGACUCUCUGGUCUGUAACUGACGCUGAGGAGCGAAAGCGUGGGGAGCGAACAGGAUUAGAUACCCUGGUAGUCCACGCCGUAAACGAUGAGUGCUAAGUGUUAGGGGGUUUCCGCCCCUUAGUGCUGCAGCUAACGCAUUAAGCACUCCGCCUGGGGAGUACGGUCGCAAGACUGAAACUCAAAGGAAUUGACGGGGGCCCGCACAAGCGGUGGAGCAUGUGGUUUAAUUCGAAGCAACGCGAAGAACCUUACCAGGUCUUGACAUCCUCUGACAACCCUAGAGAUAGGGCUUUCCCUUCGGGGACAGAGUGACAGGUGGUGCAUGGUUGUCGUCAGCUCGUGUCGUGAGAUGUUGGGUUAAGUCCCGCAACGAGCGCAACCCUUGAUCUUAGUUGCCAGCAUUCAGUUGGGCACUCUAAGGUGACUGCCGGUGAGAAACCGGAGGAAGGUGGGGAUGACGUCAAAUCAUCAUGCCCCUUAUGACCUGGGCUACACACGUGCUACAAUGGACAGAACAAAGGGCUGCAAGACCGCAAGGUUUAGCCAAUCCCAUAAAUCUGUUCUCAGUUCGGAUCGCAGUCUGCAACUCGACUGCGUGAAGCUGGAAUCGCUAGUAAUCGCGGAUCAGCAUGCCGCGGUGAAUACGUU
rnacentral:rRNA from 1 species